CACUUUAUAAAACCAACAUUCAAUAAUACAUACUAAUUAUAUUUUUACUAUUAAGUCCACCUUUCUAAUAAAAAAUAAUUUUUAAAAUCCGGAAUUUAAUAAAAUUAAUUAUAGUAGUUCAUCAAACCUUUCUUAUAAGCUGCAUUAUGACUUGACAUAAAAACCAAAUAAUUUUAUAGUCCUUUAAUUAUUUUUAAAAUAUAGACUAACGACAGCAAUAUACAAACUGUAUUUAUAUAAUUCAAAAAAAAGUAAGUUUAAAAUGAGGAUUAUCAAAUUAAUUAACAAACUCCCCUAAUUGGAUAUAUAAAACCGCCAAACUUUUUAAGUUUUAAAUAAAUAUUUAAUUAUUUUAUAAUAAUUAUAUUUUCAUAAUACUUAGGUAAAUAUAAUUCAUUUUUACAACUUAAAA
rnacentral:rRNA from 1 species